AGAGCGAGUGAGCCUUUUCCUUUUUUUCUCUCUCUUUUUACUCUUACCCCGUUCCCUCUCCGGCGGGCGGCACACGCGAGACAGGAGGGGACGCGGGCGGACAGACGCACACGCCGCGCCACACGAGCAGGACGUCUCCACACCGGGAGGCCAGCAGGACGGCCCCCUUGGCAACACGGCAGAGCUCAUCAAAGAGAAAGUCCCGAGACCCCCAGCAGCUCAGCUGCUCAUCUGGACCGUCAGCGGUCCACAUCUAUAUCUAUAUCUCUAGAUCUAUAUCCGCUUCUGUAUCUAUAGAUAUACAUUUUUUUGUUUUGGCUCCACUUUUUAUUCUUUGAUUUAAUCCGUUAGUCAGAUUUUUGCCACUUUAUCGGGGGCACGACCCUUGCGCACAUCGGGGGGGGCUUGUGCUCUGGAUCCCGGAGGCGACAUGCCCAGGGGAAGUGACCGCGCCGGGGCCGAGCCGGGGCAGGCCGGGGGCCGCGGGGGGCGCCGCUGGCCACUGGUGGCGUGGGCUGCCUUGGCACUGGGGCACAUUGGCGCGGUGGCGACGUGUCCGGCACUGUGCACCUGCAGCGGCACCACGGUGGACUGCCACGGCCUGGGGAUCAAGAGCGUGCCCCGGAACAUUCCCAGGAACACAGAGAGGCUGGAGCUUAAUGGGAACAACCUCACACGGAUCUCCAAGAGUGACCUGGCUGGCCUGAAGCAUCUCCGCGUCCUGCAGCUGAUGGAAAAUCAGAUCAGUACCAUCGAGCGAGGAGCCUUUGACGACAUGAAAGAGUUGGAGAGACUACGACUGAACCGAAACCAACUUCAACAACUCCCAGAAUUGCUGUUCCAAAAGAAUGCAGCACUCUCUCGACUGGACCUGAGUGAGAAUGCCAUCCAGGCCAUUCCCCGGAAAGCCUUCCGCGGAGCCACGGACAUCAAGAACCUUCAGCUGGAUAAGAACCAAAUCGGCUGCAUUGAAGACGGUGCCUUCCGAGCCAUGAGGGGCCUCGAGGUCCUGACUCUGAACAACAACAACAUCAGCACCAUCCCUGUAUCCAGCUUCAAUCACAUGCCCAAGCUGCGCACCUUCCGUCUGCAUUCCAACAACCUGCGCUGUGACUGCCACCUGGCCUGGCUAUCGCAGUGGCUGCGCCAGCGCCCCACCAUGGGCCUGUUCACCCAGUGCAGCACACCGCCGAUGCUGCGAGGCCUUAAUGUCGCCGAGGUUCAGAAGCAUGAGUUUGCCUGCUCGGGUCACUCUGAGUCUGCGACACCCCAGCCCUGCAGCCUGGCAGCCGGAUCCUGCCCUCCCAUGUGCUCGUGCAGCAACAAUAUUGUCGAUUGCCGGGGGAAAGGUCUGACUGCCAUCCCAGCCAACCUGCCGGAGGGCAUGGCUGAAAUACGGCUCGAGCAGAACGGCAUCAAGUCCAUCCCCCCGGGAGCUUUCUCUCCUUACAAGAAGCUGCGCAGAAUAGACCUCAGCAACAACCAGAUCUCGGAGAUCGCCCCCGACGCAUUUCAGGGCUUGCGUUCCCUCAACUCCCUGGUUUUAUAUGGGAACAAGAUCACAGAGCUGCCCAAGGGUGUAUUUGAUGGCCUGACUGCCCUGCAGUUGCUGCUGCUAAAUGCCAAUAAGAUCCACUGUGUCCGGGCCAGUACGUUCCAGGACCUGCAGAACUUGUCUCUGCUUUCUCUGUACGACAACAAGAUCCAGACCCUGUCCAAAGGCACCUUCUCUUCACUUCGGGCAAUUCAAACACUACACCUGGCCCAGAACCCCUUCAUCUGCGACUGUAACCUGAAGUGGCUGGCCGACUACCUGCGCUCUAACCCCAUCGAGACGAGCGGUGCCCGCUGUGCCAGUCCGCGGCGGCUUGCCAACAAGCGCAUCGGCCAGAUCAAGAGCAAGAAGUUUCGCUGCUCGGCUAAGGAGCAGUACUACAUCCCAGGUGCAGAGGACACCCGACUCAACACGGACUGUGGCAGUGACCCUGUGUGUCCUCCCAAGUGCCGCUGUGAGGCCGGUGUGGUAGACUGCUCCAACCUGCGUCUUACCAAGAUUCCCGAGCACAUCCCGGCUUCCACAGCUGAGCUACGCCUCAACAAUAAUGAGAUUUCAGUCCUGGAAGCCACAGGAGUCUUCAAGACUCUUACCCAGCUCAAGAAGAUUAACCUGAGCAACAACAAGAUCACAGAGAUCGAGGACGGCGCGUUUGAAGGAGCAGCAUCCGUCAGUGAGCUUCACUUAACCGCGAACCAGCUGGACUCGGUGCGCAGUGGGAUGUUCCGGGGGCUGGAGGGGCUGCGCAUGUUAAUGCUCCGGAAUAACCGCAUCAGCUGCAUCCACAACAACAGCUUCACAGGGCUGCACAACGUUCGCCUGCUGUCGCUGUAUGACAACCAGCUGACAACAAUCACUCCGGGAGCUUUUGACACGCUGCAGGCCCUGUCCACACUGAACCUGUUGGCCAACUCCUUCCACUGUGACUGCCGCCUGUCCUGGCUCGGGGAGUGGCUGCGCAGCCGCAAGAUUGUGACAGGAAACCCCCGGUGUCAGCGACCUGCCUUCCUCAAGGAGAUCCCGCUACAGGACGUGGCGUUGCCCGACUUUCGUUGCGAGGAGGGGCAGGAAGAGGCCAACUGCAUGCCACGUCCACAGUGUCCCAGCGAGUGCACCUGCCUGGACACGGUGGUGCGCUGCAGCAACAAGCACCUGCGUGGCCUGCCCAGGGGUGUACCUCGCAAUGUCACUGAGCUGUACCUGGAUGGAAACCAGUUCAACAUGGUCCCCAAGGAGCUGUCCAGCUUCAAACACCUGCAGCUGGUGGACCUGAGCAACAACAAGAUCAGCUCCCUGUCCAACUCCUCCUUCGCCAACAUGAGCCAGCUCACCACGUUGAUCCUCAGUUACAAUUCUCUUCGGUGCAUCCCUGCUUUGGCCUUUGCUGGUCUCCGCUCACUCAGGCUGCUGUCGCUGCAUGGCAACAAUAUCUCAGAGCUGCCUGACGGCGUUUUCAGCGACGUGGCCUCACUCUCACACCUGGCGAUCGGCGCAAACCCGUUGCACUGUGACUGCCGCCUGCGCUGGCUGUCUGACUGGGUGAAGACAGGUUAUAAGGAGCCUGGCAUCGCCCGCUGCACUGGCCCAUCAGGCAUGGAGGGCAAACUGCUGCUGACUACACCCGCCCAGAAGUUUGAGUGUCAUGGCGAGGUGGACCCCGCUGUGCUGGCCAAGUGCAGUCCAUGUGUGUCGGCUCCGUGCCAGAACCAGGGCGCCUGCCACAGCGACCCCCUGGAGGUGUAUAGGUGCACCUGUGCCCCUGGAUUCAAGGGCAAAAACUGUGAGGUAAUGCUCAACGCCUGCGCCAGCAACCCCUGCUCCAAUGGGGGAACCUGCCAGGCCAGCUGGGAGGAGGACGGGGCCUUCAGCUGCUCCUGCCCCCAUGGGUUCGAAGGGGCCGCUUGCGAGGUCGACGUGGACGAUUGCGAAGACAAUGACUGCGAGAACGGUGCCACCUGCGUGGAUGGGGUGAACAACUACACCUGUGUGUGCGGCCCCCUGUACACAGGGGAACUGUGUGAGGACAUGGUGGACAUGUGCGCACAUGGGCGCAGCCCCUGUCAACAUCACUCCACCUGUCUCAUCACGGUCACCGGGCCCAGGUGUGUGUGCUCUCCUGGGUACGUGGGCAACAACUGCAGCGUGGACUAUGAUGACUGUGCAGAGCAUCGCUGUCAGAAUGGCGCACGCUGUGUGGACGAGGUCAACGGCUACACGUGCAUCUGCACACCAGGGUACAGCGGACAGCUAUGUGAACUGUCCCCGACGCCCCGCUCCUUGUGCGACCUGGCGGAAUGCCAGAACGGCGCCCCCUGUAUGGAGCGAGGGGGUCGAGCGAUGUGCCAGUGCCUGCCCGGGUUCGGGGGCCUGCGUUGCGAGAAGCUCGUCAGCGUCAACUUUGUGGACAGGGACUCGUACCUGCUGCUCGGGGACCUCAAGAACAGGCCUCAGGCCAACAUCACACUGCAGGUGUCCACAGCGGAGGACAACGGCAUUCUGCUCUACAAUGGAGACAACGACCACAUUGCUGUGGAGCUCUACCAAGGUCACGUCAAGGUCAGCUACGACCCGGGAAGCCAGCCUGGCCACGCCAUCUACAGUGCGGAGACCAUCAACGACGGGCUCUUCCACACGGUGGAGCUCGUCACCUUUGACCAGAUGGUGAACUUGUCCAUCGAUGGCGGCCUCCCCACCACCAUGGACAGUUUUGGGGUGGUGCGGCCACUCAAAGGGGAAGCGCCGCUAUAUGUAGGGGGGAUGCCCGUGGACGUUCACUCGGCCACGUUUCGUCUCUGGCAGCUCCAGAACGGCUCCAGCUUCCACGGCUGCAUCCGCAACCUAUACAUCAACAACGAGCUGCAGGACUUCACCAAGACCCAGAUGAAGCCCGGCGUAGUGCCCGGGUGCGAACCGUGUCGCAAGCUCUACUGCCUGCAUGGCAUCUGCCAGCCGAACGGCGCCACAGGCCCCGUGUGCCACUGCCAGCCCGGCUGGAGCGGACCGCACUGCGACCUGCCAGCCAGCAACCCCUGCCAGGGCAGCAAGUGUGUCCAUGGGACCUGCAUCCCCCUGGACGAGCAGUCGUAUCGCUGUGAGUGCCUGGAGGGCUACAGGGGCGCCCUGUGUAACCAGCAGGGGGCAGCGUCGAACCCUUGCCUAGGUGUGCAGUGCACGCAUGGCCGCUGCCAAGUGUCGGACGACGGCAAGGCCUACUGCCACUGCGAGAGCGGCUACAGCGGACAGCUGUGUGAUACAGUGUCGGAGUGCCGGGGGGAGCCUGUGAGGGACUUCCACCAAGUCCAGCGCGGGUACGCCAUCUGCCAGACGACACGCAUGCUCUCCUGGGUCGAGUGUGUGGGUGUGUGUCCUUCGGGGGCCUGCUGCUCCACCCAGAGGCUCAAGCGCAGGAAGUACACCUUUGAGUGCAGCGAUGGCAGCUCCUUCGCCGAGGAAGUGGAGAAGACCAUCAAGUGCGGCUGCACGGGCUGCGUGUAGCGCCACCUACAGGCACCCGGAGGAGGCGGCGAACCACAGGAAGUGAGCCAGGCAAACAACUCUGAAAAAAAAAAAACAGAAGGAAACCCAUUUCAUCAGCAGUGUUGUCUGAAGGGGUCGAACUCUGGAAAGUGUGAAUAUUUUGAAAGCCCUGAAAGAAUUGUUACAGGCCACGGGUGUAACUGAACCCUCUCGCCUCAUGAGCCUGAAGGGCGCGGCGCAGCACGGCACCCCCGAGCCCAGCCUGUCUCGCCUCCUUCCCACUGCAGUGGACGGCGCUCCAUUACCCUGGGGGCUCUUCAGACGCCAUAGUCCUGGAUGAUACACCUUGUUUCCCAAUGUAAUACACACUCACACCGACACGUGCAUCGAUGCCCCGAGGCUCCGCUUUCAUCACCUGAAACACCCGUGUGGAAUUCAUCAGGCUUCUUGCUGUCUUGCCAGUGCUCCACGGUCACACUAGAAGGACCUUUCCGUGACCCUUCUGUGACCUUUCUGUGACCUUUCCCCGAAGGCCUUGUGACCCUCUCUUUGCAACCCGCGCCUCAAGCUCUCGCUUUGGGACUCAGCUCAUUUGCCCCAUUCCUCCACAUCCCGCCUCUCCACUUGAAGAACGAUAACCACAGCAGCGCGUCUACAGUCGGUGUAACUGUGAUUUUUUUAGUGACAUAUACGGUAGUAGUCGUUGAAAACCGUUAUCCGCGCGCGAGCAAGCGAACGACCCUGUAAGGUCGCGGCCCUUAUGAAGGUGCAUGGUCAGUGUCCAGUGGCUGCGCUCGAGCUACUAUUAGUGAGUAAUUAACAUAUAACUAGUGCUGUAAUAGCUUCGCUUUGCCUCACCCACAGAGCAGGAACGAAAAACCCGAGAUGUUCUGGCAGUCAACGGUUGAGUGGGCGGGGCAGGUACCUGUAUCGAAACGCAGAGUCACACCCUUAAACGAUCGCACGCACAGCACACGACCCUCACGGUGGUGCUCCUGCGAACGGAGCGUCUUUGCAGCGCUCAGGAUGCUCCGCCCCUCAGAGGGAGCAGCUGGUGUCCUGAUGGCACCAAAGAAGCGUUGCCUAGCGACAGAGUGAAUAGUAUAAGCCACGCCCCCUAGCUAUAAUCGCAAGUGGAAGUUUAAACCCCACCCCUUUUUACCAGCAGUAUUAAUUUUGCAAAUUGUAUGACUGAAAGAUUUUAAAGAAAUGGAAAUGUCGAUUUUUUUUUUUCCCAAAUAAUUCUCAUAACAAUAAGG